UACGUAUGGGGCAAGCGUUAUCCGGAUUUACUGGGUGUAAAGGGAGCGCAGGCGGCACGGCAAGCCUGAUGUGAAAGCCCGCGGCCCAACCGCGGGACUGCAUUGGGAACUACCGGGCUGGAGUGCCGGAGAGGUAGGCGGAAUUCCUAGUGUAGCGGUGAAAUGCGUAGAUAUUAGGAGGAACACCAGUGGCGAAGGCGGCCUACUGGACGGUGACUGACGCUGAGGCUCGAAAGCGUGGGGAGCAAACAGG
rnacentral:rRNA from 1 species